UAAUGUGAUUAUCCAAUUUGUUAGCAGUAAUUGAUGUGUCAUUAACUCACAAGCAUCAACAAAGUGUGUAAUGUUAAGUAGAACCAUCUAGGGCUUGUCGCUUUCCAAACACGGUCCUAAAAUAGUGGUUUAGAUGUAAGGUGAUCAUACCAAACCAUACCAUGUGAACAUGUCACUUGAAUAGUAACAUUUUAUUUACUUUCCCUCUAGGAUGAAUGUAAAAAGUUAACCUUCAAUUUAAAAAAUUACUAGUAGGAAUCUAUGGGGGAAAAUUCAUAUUAUAGCAUAUUACACCGACUUUUGGUACUUGCAAAAGCCUCAUAUUAAACUUUUACAUCCAAACAGAUAAAAAAAGUAUUUUGGGAAGGUGAUAUCUAAUGCAUAAAAUAAAAUCAGUAAAACAAAAAAGAUGUAGUCAAAAUAGGUUUAUUUUAUUAAAAUAGAAUGCACCAAAUCCCCCUUCCAUUCAAAAAGAGGACGUCUCCAGCUGAAAGAAUUUAUGAAAUACUUAGUACAAGAUCAAAGAUGUAUGAUAUGAAUUUGAAUCAUCUAAAUAUGAGCUAUUUUAUCCGGUUAAGAUGAAAUUUUAGAUUUUUUUUUUAAAGAAAAUGAGUUUAUAACAUUUCAUUACAUAAAAUAUGUUCAAAACUCAAAACUAGAGGAGAAUGUGGUCGCCUUAGUUAUUUAUGAGCCGUCUCAUUUGCUUGUCUCCUCAAGAACUCAAAACUAGAGUUGACAUAAUAUUGUUCAAAGAUAGUUUUACAAUUAUGAAUAAUCAUCCAAACUCUGUAACAUCCUGAUGUGCAGAUGAAAAACUAUCCAUCUUUUUUUUGGCAUCAAGCUCAAAAUCGAUAGGAACCAAGUGUAAUUGAUAAACUCAUUCUAAAUCUGAUAACAAUCCAAGAGCUUCGCCAACAUGUACCUCAGAGAUUAGAGUAAACCAUUCAGUUUUAGCCAAAACAAAAGUGUAUGUCAUCCCUUAUACAAACUCCUAUUACCACUCUAUUAGAAAGAUGGGAGAAAGAAACAUCAAUAUUGUACUUAAAUAUUUCUUUAGUUGGUUUGAUUCGUUUCAAAUAUUCGUCUUGUCGCGGUUAUGCACAAGUUGUAUUAUAAAUCCUAUGAGCAUCUUGUCAACCAUGAAACAUAGUUUUUACUCUCUCAACAACAUAAAGUUGAGUAUCAAUUACCCCAUUCCACACUUGUUGCUUCUUUGUUUUCAGAUACUCCACAACACACAGCAAAACAAAACCACAUCUUCCUUAGAUAAAUCAUGUAAGGCUUUGAAGAUAAUAUUCUUUCUAUCCACAUCUUGUUGUAGCAAAAUAUACAUAGAAGAAAAGAAAGGUAACAUACUUCAAGAUGAAUGCUAACAACAUACAUUUUCAACACACUUUCUUUGAUUGUUUAAAAUUCAUAUGGGUCCCACCAAAUCAUGUAAGACCUGUAUAAAUUUGGUGGGACCCAUGUGAAAUUUAACCAAUCAAAGAGAGUGUGUUGAAAAGUGUGUGGUGCUAGCAUUUCUCCAUACUCCAAACAUUUAAGCUAAUUGGAAAUUGAGAAAAAUAAAUGAAGCGUAUCAUCAUUGUCCACCGUACACAAUAUACAACUCACACGACAUGUCACUCAUUUAUCUUUUAGACGUACAAGAGUUGGUAAGCAAUUUCUACUAAUUCACCACAUAAAGUUUUUUACCUUGGGAGGAAUCUUGAGCUUCCAAAUUAGAUUCCAAGAUCCUUCUACUUUGAAAUAGGAUGUAUCAAGUAAUUCUUGCACACAAAAACGAUAUGCACUACGAAUAGAGUAUUCACCAUGAUUUUCUAUUUUUCACAUGAGUCGAUAUGUCGUCACUGAUGGGUAGAGUGGUGUGUUCACUAUAUGUUCAAUCUUCGUCGCCGCGAAAUCGUAUGUAUCUAUUUUUGUUUUGAUUUUCGUUUUGAAAUUGUUUCUCAGCAGCUAUCGCACAGUCGCCGUGAAACCUUGUUCCGUCUUCAUCGCCGCGAAAUCGUAAUUUCUAGGUAAAUCUUCUAAUCUCUGUGUUUUUCAAUUGUUUAAUUGUUUUUUAUUUUUCGUUUUUGAUUUUGAAUUGUUCUAGGUAAAUUUUAAUUGUAAUUAUCAACUUUGUGUAGAAUCGUAAUUUUAAUUGUUAUAAGUAAAUUGAUUUUCGUUUUUGAUUUUGAAUCUGUGUUGAUUAUUGUUAGAAGGAAAAUAAACAGUAUAUGUAUUGCUGCAGUUUGGUUUCAGUGCUAACUGCAAUUUCGUACUGUCAAGUUAGUGUGGUUCAUCAAAGAAUAAUGUAAGAGUGAAACAAGCAUGAAUCAUAACUUAUGGAAUACUGAUACAGUAGACACAAACACCGGAUUCAACACUGAUAUUGACAUGUAGACACAUAACUUAUGAGAUUGUUCACCCCAUUUAAAAAGUGUUUUCUGCACUAGUUAAGGUAGGUAAAUUUUCGAAACUCAUACCUCCAUCAUUCUUGUGCAUAAACAAUUUAUCCCAAGAAUGCCAUUUUAUACCUCUAUGUUGAACUCCUGAAUGACCCAACUGAAAAGAAUUCAUCAUUCUUUCAAUUUCAGCAAAAAGAGGACAAAGAGAGUGAAGAAACUCAUAAAGUAGGUAAGGAUAGAUUGAAGCACAUAUUGGAUGAGAACUUCAUGUUCGGCUUUUGAAAGGCUUUUACGACUCCAUGAAUUGAUCUUCUUCAUAAUUCUAUCUUUGAUAAAGUUGAAAGUGGAUUUUUUCUCCUGCCUAUCAUAGAAGGGAGCCCAAAAUAUUUUCCAGUACGUAAAACAACCUUCGCUCCUAAAAUGAUUGCAACAUUAUUAUGAUUAGGUUUGGUGCCUCACUAUAAGCUAUCUCAUAGAUAGAUAAAAUGGCUCGCAUUUUAUUUGUUUGGUCGACCUUGACGCAUAAAAAGCGGAAACUAUCGCAACAUCAAACAAGAUGUGAGAUAUAAUUGUUGCUUUAUUUCAAAUUUUGACAUCAUUAAUUUCACCGCUUACUCCAUCUUUUCGAAUAAGCACUAACAGACGAUCAACACAAAUAUUGAAGUUUUAGAUAAGAGCUAUUUUAAAUAUAUAUAUAUAUAUAUAUAUAUAUAUAUAUAUAUAUAUAUAUAUAUNCACUAACAGACGAUCAACACAAAUAUUGAAGUUUUACAUGUGAUAUGCCCCCCAUAUAUAUAUAUAUAUAUAUAUAUAUAUAUAUAUAUAUAUAUAUAUAUAUAUGGAUUUGCUAAAACACAUCUACUAAUUUUUAUGUGGGAGUGUUUUAGCAAAGCUACACAUUAGGGUGUAUUUAACCACUUUUUAGUUAUUCAUUUGCUAAAAUACUCCUUCUAAAAAAUAAGUGGGUGUAUUCUAGCAAAUGUCUAUAGGAUUUGCUAGAACACACCCACUUAUUUUUUGGAAGGUGUGUUAUAGCAACAUACACAUUAAGGUUUAUUUAUUAACUUUUUAGUUAUAACUUGCUACAACACUCCCACAUAAAAAUUAGUGGAUGUGUUCUAGCAAAUCUCAUAUAUAUAUAUAUAUAUAUAUAUAUAUAUAUAUUGGUAUCCGACUGAAAGGAUUGACUAAUCAUGAAAUUAAGCUGACCAUUCCGUAGCAUUUAAAAUUGUCAUAUCAAAAUAUAGCCAAAAUAUCAAUGUUCUAUAUUAAUUGAUAAUCCAAAUUAUUAAACAAAAUUAUCAAAACAAUAUAACCAAGUACAAACCACGUUACAAACUAAGUUAACAGAUAAUUCAAAUUAUCAAACCAAAUUGCAUAUGAUUCCAGUAUAGAACGAAUAGAAAAAUAAUAAGGGCAAUGAAGGUUUCUAAUUUUAGGAUAAACCAAAACAAAAUCAAACAUAAAUCAUAAAAAAAAACACUUGAAGAUGAUGGUGACAAAGAGAGUGAAGAUGAUGACGAGACCAAGAGCGAUUCAUGUUAUAAAUUUAUGAGAAUGAGAUCGAUUGAGAAGAUAUGAUGGCGUGAUGGUUAUAGUGAUGGAGAAGAGAGAAACUGAGGGUGUGAGAUGUGGAAUGAGAAGAUAGAGAACUCAAAGAAGUGAAUGAGAGAUUAUUGUUUGACAGACUGAGAUUCUGACUAUGUGAGUGAAGUUGUUUAGGGUUUGGGUUUCUAUUUAUAUAAAAGGGAUAAAAAAAUCUACAUUCGGCACGGACUUGAGAAAGGGUUUGGGGUGGGUGUAAUACCCAAGGCUAACGAAGGCGGGGAGUGGUCGCCGGUGCAAGGGGCAUGACAAUGAGCGGCUCCCGACAGCUUCUAGACGAACCGAAUCACAUCGGAAUGAGAGGGAUCCUGAUGCCGUGUAGGUAUGGGACUACAGUUGAAGGAAGGCUUAUAAGAAUUGUUUGGUACUACCUAUAUCAACAAGAUGCAUCUUCUUUUCGGUAGCCCAUUCCAUAAGAACUCCGCAGUUAAGCGUGCUUGACUUGGAGUAGUCUUAUGAUGGGUGACAUACCGGGAAAUUCCCGGUAAGCGUGCGAGUUAGGAAAAAACAUGCUAGAAAGACCCGUGUUUGUUUGUAGGGUCAGUCGACAAUGCUUAAAGUCGUAUGUGAUGUUGCAAAUGGUAUCAGAGCAAACCUCUUCCAGUACGUUGUGGUUCGGGGACGAACCAAGCGGAAGCUGGUGGGCAUGUAACACCCAAGGCUGACGAGGGCGGGGAGUGGUCGCCGGUGCACAAGGCAUGACAAUGAGUGGCUCCCGACAACUUCUAGACAAGCCGAAUCACAUCGGAAUGAGAGGGAUCCUGAGGCCGUGUAGGUAUGGGACUACAUGGUUGAAGGAAGGCUUAUAAGAAUUGUUUGGUACUACCUAUAUCAACAAGAUGCAUCUUCUUUUUGGUAGCUCAUUUCAUAAGAACUCCACAGUUAAGCGUGUUGACUUGGAGUAUUCUUAUGAUGGGUGACCUACCGGGAAAUUCCCGGUAAGCGUGCGAGUGAGGACAAAACACGCUGGAAAGACUCGUGUUAGUUUGUAGGGUCAGUCGGCAAUCCUGAAAGCAGUCUGGGAUGUUACAGUGGGUACCUAUAUACACGCUACCCGACCCGUACCCGUGUUUUAAAAUCGGAGAAAACCAAAUCUCAUAUCCAAACUCUGUCAAAGAGGGGUAAACACCAUUUAGCCCAAAUGAAAAUAAAAGUUCAUGACACCAUUUAAUUGUUCCACCCAGGAACUGAACUCAUAUUCUUUUGAAAACCUCGCUCUUGGUGAAACUUAUUAACCACUUGAGAUCAAUUACUUAAUUUCCAUUAUUCUUAUUUUAAACUAUUCAAAUAUCAACAUUUAAUGCUUUUAUAGUUUUAUUCCACAGUUUUAUUUUUUACAAGUACAUUUUAUAGUUUAUAAAACAUAUUGAUUGAAUAAUAAUUUGAUAUGAGUGUUUAUGGUUUGAAAUCAUAUUGGUUUGAAAUCAUUAUGACUCUUCAUGAGAGAAUGAUUAGUUCAACUAUAAUCUUUCAUGAAGAAAAAAAGGGUAUGUUAUCCAUAUCCUGUUAUUCACUAUCAAUAUAAAUAUAUGUAUUAGGACGUUAGUUUCUGCAUAUCUAACAACUAGAAUGAUCUUAUCUAAUCUUACUUCUUACUUACUAUAAAUUCGAGGUAGUCUGACCUACCAAAACCUUAACCAUCUUGUAGCCCUAGCACACAAAAUGAUAAAUUUAUCCUUCAAUAUUAAACCAUUUCAUCCCUUUAAUUUAUUGUUUUCCUGCAUUAAUCUCGAGCCACUCAUACCUUAGCCCACUCACACGUUUUUCAUUGGUCUUGAGCCACUCAAUAUCAUGUUUUCCAAAUGGUGCCAAUUUCUGGAAAACCCUAUGGCGCCAUUUGCAUCAUAUGCCCAUUUACUUCAUUAAUGAAAGUGCAUGCUUACUUGAAUAAAAGAGUCAUGCUUACUUAGAUGAUGCUAUGUGGUCAUUUAAGAGCUCAUUAACCAAGACUAAGGUCCAACUAUCAACUACUUCAUUAAAUGGAUCACCUCUUUUCCCUUGCUAUUUAAAAGAACAAAGUUCGCAUCAAAUUACUUUUGAUAGUUAGAUAAAAAUCAUUAUGUUUUCAAACUUUGUAACAUAAGGAUCUAGAUGUCGAGUUUGGAGAACUUUGCCAUGUUUGCAAAUGAUCAAGAUGUUGUUGAUGUGUUAAUCCACUUGAAAGGUUUUUUGUUUUUAAAUUUUGUUUCGAUUUCGUAUUCUUAAAGGAUUUUCCGCUUAUUUUUUUGCUAUGGUUGUUGUACAGUUCUUCUUUUUUCGCAUCUAUUUUGUAAAACUCUAUACUUACAUUGUUCAUCUUAUACUACCAGUUUAGAAUAAUUCAAAUGGGGUUGUGUGCAAGACUGUUAGAAGUGGUUUGUUGGAAUUAAGGACAUUGCACAUGGAAUUUGACAUCAGCAUUGGAUGUAUAUUUCAAGCUUUCAAAUUUAUAUCUUCAUAAAAUGCAACUAUUCAUUAUUUAUAUGAAUACUAGACUUUUGAUACAUUAUGUUUUGAUAUUUUGAUACAAUGUAGAGUUUUGAUUCAUUCUGUGUUCAAAUUCCUCGUGGUACCUUUCCCAUGCCGAGUAUGUGAGUCAAAUCGCCCAUGUGAAGGACAUGAUGUUAUUUUUAUAUUAUGUUUUGGGGGGGGGGGGGGGUAUGCUAUUAUUCUCUCCUUGAUGGUCCAAGCAGAAUGUCGACCAUGGAACCAGUGGUGCAUAAACUGUAUAUUAUAAUGAAAGAAACCCAUAUCUUGAACCCAGAAACAACUAAAUCCAAUAUUUUUAAACCAAAAAUUGCAAGAGAAAAUUCGUGAAGAGCCCAUGGCGGUGCCGAAUAAUAGAGUCCUGAAAUCAAGCUCAAGGGAACGAGAUCCGCCAAGGCUUUAAAUAACAAAUAAAGUUUACUAGAGGAUCACAACAAUGGAAAAACACUCCGAUUAGAACUCCUUGGAUGAAAUAGUAGUGAGUAGUCGAUAGGAACCCCUUGGUGAACGACCCCGAGAGGUGUUUAAAGGUGGUGUUGCACUGAUAAGACUGCACACCGCCAUUUUUAAUGAGGAAAGGAUGAAAGGUUGAGCUUUUGUCGCGCGGCUGAGUAUGAAGAGAGAGAACAUAGGAUACAUGUUCUUAAUCAACGUAUUCAUAAUAGAUCAUAAUUAAUAGGAAACUUGUGUUAAUCUAACAAAAAAUAUAGAGGAGUUUUGAAGAAUCCUAAUCAUCGUUAAACAUCUAAUCAAACAAACUAAACAUAUUUGUCUAAUCAAUAAAAACUUGCAAACAUCCUUAAAUUUAUAGUCUUUAAUAAUAAGUUUUGUAAAUUUUAUAGUAGAAAACAACAAUCAAUAUGGAGACGAUACACUUACUAAUUUAUUACUUGAAACAAUUUGGUGCACUUAUCAAAUUUCUCAUCAAGUAACAUUGUUUCUCCUUGUGUCUGCAAAAGAAAACCAAAAUUUUUUUUUAUAUUAUUUUUUAAAACUACUUCUUGAUAGAAGUGGGGGUCACAUUUUCGAACAACAUUAUAAUUUAACCUCCCACUAAGGUUAAAAAGUUAUCCGACCUUUUUCCUAAGGUAAAAACAUUUUUAUACCAUCACAAAAG
rnacentral:lncRNA from 1 species